AACGAACGCUGGCGGCAUGCCUAACACAUGCAAGUCGAACGAGACCUUCGGGUCUAGUGGCGCACGGGUGCGUAACGCGUGGGAACCUGCCCUUAGGUUCGGAAUAACUCCCCGAAAGGGGUGCUAAUACCGGAUAAUGUCUUCGGACCAAAGAUUUAUCGCCUUUGGAUGGGCCCGCGUUGGAUUAGCUAGUUGGUAGGGUAAAAGCCUACCAAGGCGACGAUCCAUAGCUGGUCUGAGAGGAUGAUCAGCCACACUGGGACUGAGACACGGCCCAGACUCCUACGGGAGGCAGCAGUGGGGAAUAUUGGACAAUGGGCGAAAGCCUGAUCCAGCAACGCCGCGUGAGUGAUGAAGGCCUUAGGGUUGUAAAGCUCUUUUACCCGGGAUGAUAAUGACAGUACCGGGAGAAUAAGCCCCGGCUAACUACGUG
rnacentral:rRNA from 1 species